rnacentral:rRNA from 1 species
GAUGAACGCUGGCGGCGUGCCUAAUACAUGCAAGUCGAGCGAACGGACGAGAAGCUUGCUUCUCUGAUGUUAGCGGCGGACGGGUGAGUAACACGUGGAUAACCUACCUAUAAGACUGGGAUAACUUCGGGAAACCGGAGCUAAUACCGGAUAAUAUUUUGAACCGCAUGGUUCAAAAGUGAAAGACGGUCUUGCUGUCACUUAUAGAUGGAUCCGCGCUGCAUUAGCUAGUUGGUAAGGUAACGGCUUACCAAGGCAACGAUGCAUAGCCGACCUGAGAGGGUGAUUCGCCAAAACGGAACCGGGGACACGGUCCAGACUCUAAGGGGAGGCAGCGGAGGGGAUCCUUCCGCAAUGGGCGAAAGCCUGACGGAGCAACGCGGCGGGAGGGAGGAAGGUCUCCGGUUCGUAAAACCCUGUUAUAGGGAAAGAACAAAUGUGUAAGUAACUGUGAACAUCUGGACGGUACCAAAUCAGAAAGCCACGGCUAACUACGU